GGGCGCGUAGCUCAGGGGUUAGAGCACUCGCCUGAUAAGCGAGAGGUCGGUGGUUCGAUUCCACCCGCGCCCA
rnacentral:tRNA from 3 species